UAGCUCAGUCAGUUGAGCGUGGCGCUAGCAAUGCUAAGAUGGUGGGUUCGAUUCCCAU
rnacentral:tRNA from 1 species